GUUUUUAUAGUUAAAAAAAAAAUAUUGGUCUUGUAAACCAAAGUUAAGUUAUAUACUUUAAAAACA
rnacentral:tRNA from 1 species